UACCAGCACCCCGAGUGGUCGGGACGAUUAUUGGGCCUAAAGCAUCCGUAGCCGGUUCUGCAAGUCUCCCGUUAAAUCCACCUGCUUAACAGAUGGGCUGCGGAGGAUACUAUAGAGCUAGGAGGCGGGAGAGGCAAGCGGUACUUAGUGGGUAGGGGUAAAAUCCGUUGAUCCAUUGAAGACCACCAGUGGCGAAGGCGGCUUGCCAGAACGCACUCGACGGUGAGGGAUGAAAGCUGGGGGAGCAAACCGG
rnacentral:rRNA from 1 species